CGUGUAGGUGGUACUGUAAGUAGGGCGUGAAAGCUCCUGGCUCAACUGGGAGAGGCCGUCCUAAACUACAGAACUAGAGGAUGGUAGAGGGAGGUGGAAUUCCAGGUGUAGCGGUGGAAUGCGCAGAUAUCUGGAGGAACACCGGUGGCGAAGGCGGCCUCCUGGACCAUUCCUGACACUCAGACGCGAAAGCUAGGGUAGCAAACG
rnacentral:rRNA from 1 species